GCAAGUCGAACGAGAAAAUGGAGCAAUCCAUGAGUAAAGUGGCGACCGGGUGAGUAACACGUGACUAACCUACCUCCGAGUGGGGAAUAACUCCGGGAAACCGGGGCUAAUACCGCAUAACAUCGCAAGAUCAAAGCAGCAAUGCGCUUGGAGAGGGGGUCGCGGCUGAUUAGCUAGUUGGCGGGGUAACGGCCCACCAAGGCGAAGAUCGGUAUCCGGCCUGAGAGGGCGCACGGACACACUGGAACUGAAACACGGUCCAGACUCCUACGGGAGGCAGCAGUGGGGAAUUUUGCGCAAUGGGGGAAACCCUGACGCAGCAACGCCGCGUGGAGGAUGAAGCCCUUUGGGGCGUAAACUCCUUUCGACUCGGACGAUAAUGACGGUACGAGUGGAAGAAGCACCGGCUAACUCUGUGCCAGCAGCCGCGGUAAUACAGAGGGUGCGAGCGUUGUUCGGAAUUAUUGGGCGUAAAGGGCGCGUANGCGGUGCGGUAAGUCACCUGUGAAAUCUCCUGGCUUAACUGGGAGUCUGCAGGCGAAACUAUCGUGCUGGAGUGUGG
rnacentral:rRNA from 1 species